GACGGAAGGUGCAAGCGUUGCUCGGAAUCACUGGGCGUAAAGGGUGCGUAGGCGGCCCUGUAAGUCCGCUGUGAAAGUCAAAGGCUCAACCUUUGAAUGCCGGUGGAUACUGCAGGGCUAGAGUCCGGAAGAGGCAAGUGGAAUUCCUGGUGUAGCGGUGGAAUGCGCAGAUAUCAGGAGGAACACCAACGGCGAAGGCAGCUUGCUGGGACGGUACUGACGCUAAGGCGCGAAAGCGUGGGGAGCGAACAGG
rnacentral:rRNA from 1 species